AUUUUUUGCAAUUGCAAAUUGUGCUGCUA
rnacentral:piRNA from 1 species